GCAACUGCAGAGUCUUAGGGGGUUAUCUAAUGUAGUCUUGGGGUGGCUGGAUAGACUUCCCAAAGAAGGUGAUGCCGAAGCUGAGGUCGGAAAUUACGAAGAUCAGCUAUCAAACUUGGAAAUCAUGUCUUAGAGAUCAAGGAGCCAAGAGAUGAGACAAGCCUGGGUUCCUAGGUGAUAGGGUGUGGCUGUGUCCCCACCCAAAUCUCGUCUUGAAUUGUAGCUCCCAUAAUCCCCACAUGUUGUGGAGGGACCCUGUGGAAGGUAAUUGAAUUAUGGAGGAAGGCCUGAGGAGAGAAGACACAUAGUCAUGCUGACUAAACCAGAUCACCUAGAAUUACCAAAUGGAAAGAUUGUGCCUGCAGCCUGGCCUGUUGCCCACAGCGGUCUACCUGCCACACUGGGAAAGAUCGAGCAGAGACAGAGAAGAAAAGGAGGCUCCAUUUUUCAGGCUGCUCUCCCGCAGGCUCAUGUUUUGUGUUCAUGCCAGGCAGAGAACACAAAAUGUUCCAAUAAAUAAGUAUCAAAGGUUAGUGGUGAAAAUGAAGGAGGAGGAGGCAUUGCGUGAAAAACUAAACAUGCAAAAUAUUACACACAAAGAGAACCAAAAUGCAGGUUCACUGGAAAUGAUAGACAAUAUGUUAAAACAAGAGGAGAGAAGAGAGCUGAAAUAAUCAAAUGGAAACACACAAUUUAGGGCUAAGAUCUUGUUGUGUUCAGCCACAAAUGAUGGCCAGCAGUGAGGAAUCUGUGUGUUCUCCACACUCUUCGCUCCUGGGAAGUCAACUCACAUGGACCAUGAUAUCAAUAUCUGCUCCUUCCCCUAAUAUCUGUUUGACCUUGGGUCAGUUACUUAAACUUCCUAAGCCUUAGUUUCUUUGUCUGGAAAAUAGGGAUAGUUAUA
rnacentral:lncRNA from 1 species